CACUAAAACACCGGUUCCUGUAUGAUUACUGGAGUUAAGCAAUGUUGAGCCUGGUCAGUACCUAGAUGGGUGACCACUUGGGAAUACCAGGUACU